GCCAUAGCUCAGCUAGUAGAGGAUCUGCUUUGCAUGCAGAAGGUCUCAGGUUCGAUCCCUGGAUUGGGAAUG